rnacentral:sRNA from 1 species
AUGGACAAGAACAGCGGCUCCAACAGCUCCUCCGCCUCUUCGGGCAGCAGCAAAGGGCAACAGCCGCCCCGCUCCGCCUCGGCGGGGCCAGCCGGCGAGUCUAAACCCAAGAGCGAUGGAAAGAACUCCAGUGGAUCCAAGCGUUAUAAUCGCAAACGUGAACUUUCCUACCCCAAAAAUGAAAGUUUUAACAACCAGUCCCGUCGCUCCAGUUCACAGAAAAGCAAGACUUUUAACAAGAUGCCUCCUCAAAGGGGCGGCGGCAGCAGCAAACUCUUUAGCUCUUCUUUUAAUGGUGGAAGACGAGAUGAGGUAGCAGAGGCUCAACGGGCAGAGUUUAGCCCUGCCCAGUUCUCUGGUCCUAAGAAGAUCAACCUGAACCACUUGUUGAAUUUCACUUUUGAACCCCGUGGCCAGACGGGUCACUUUGAAGGCAGUGGACAUGGUAGCUGGGGAAAGAGGAACAAGUGGGGACAUAAGCCUUUUAACAAGGAGCUCUUUUUACAGGCCAAAGUCUCCCUCUGUCACCCAGGCUGGAGUGUAGUGGCGUGAUCUCGGCUCACUGCAGCCUCCGCCUCUCAGG